CCGUCCAUCGAUGGAAACACUACAAUAGAGGUGGAGCUUGUUUUCAAUAACACAGCAUCACCCGAAGUGACCGUUUCAACUGCCGAUGUACUGGAGACCAUGACGACGGCAGCAACCAACACCUCCGCUGGCGGAUUCUCCUUUGAUCCUGAAUCUAUUGUUGUCACAGAAACGCCAACCUCAACGACAGCACCAACAACAACUACGGCAACUCAAGAACCCUCAGUUCCUACUGUGUCUUUCACGGUAGAGGCUACACUAUCAAAGCCUUUCACUGCAGAGUUAACAAACCAAACGACUGCAGAGUUUCAAGAACUGCAAACAACUGUUGUGACAUCUUGCGAUGCGAUCUUCCAGGAGGCCUAUGGGUCGGUUUUCAUCACCACUCUUGUCCUUGGAUUCAGCCCGUCCAUCGAUGGAAACACUACAAUAGAGGUGGAGCUUGUUUUCAAUAACACAGCAUCACCUGAAGUGACCGUUUCAACUGCCGAUGUACUGGAGACCAUGAAGACGGCAGCAACCAACACCUCCGCUGGCGGAUUCUCCUUUGAUCCUGAAUCUAUUGUUGUCACAGGUAUGGUCACAUUUUCCAUAUUUCAUCCAAUGAUAAAAGUAACAGCACUUUG